rnacentral:rRNA from 1 species
UACGUAGGGUGCAAGCGUUGUCCGGAAUUAUUGGGCGUAAAGAGCUCGUAGGCGGUUUGUCGCGUCGGAUGUGAAAACCCAGGGCUCAACCCUGGGCCUGCAUUCGAUACGGGCAGACUAGAGUUCGGUAGGGGAGACUGGAAUUCCUGGUGGUAGCGGUGAAAUGCGCAGAUAUCAGGAGGAACACCGGUGGCGAAGGCGGGUCUCUGGGCCGAAACUGGACGCUGGAGGAGCGAAAGCGUGGGGAGCAAACAGGA